AUGUCAGGGAAGAGUUAGAAGUUUCCAGUUUAUCAGAGGGAGAAAGCAUUCCCCAAGGGGGGAAGGAGAGCAGUGAAUCUAAUAGAAGGGAGCAAGAGGAACAACAGGGAGGGACCGGCUGUUCCCAGGAAAGGCAAGGGUUAAGUUCUAGCUCAGAUUGGGAGGAGGGGAGAUACAGGCCAGCUCUAGCCAGGAGGUUAGAAAAAAGAGCGGGAAAACGAAGGGAAAGGCGCCUUCACCAUUUUGAGGGUGGCUGGUCACGGAGAAGCAGAGCUCAGAAGGUAUCUGAAAUAAGUGACUCUGAGGAAUAAUAGUUAAGAACCGUUUAUAAGAAUGUUUUGUUAAUACGCAAUAAAAAGUUUUAUAAAAGAACAAGAAGCGUUUGUGUGGUGAUCUGAAGAGGACAACGACCAGUCCUGACACCACAGUUGCAGAGAAGGCUGGUCAUCACAUUGCUGCUGCUUAGUAUUUUGUAACUGUGCUGCAUCUCAUUUGAUUAACAAAUAGAGGGGAGGGG
rnacentral:lncRNA from 1 species